rnacentral:rRNA from 1 species
CCUACGGGUGGCAGCAGUGGGGGAUAUUGCACAAUGGGGGAAACCCUGAUGCAGCGACGCCGCGUGAGUGAAGAAGUAUUUCGGUAUGUAAAGCUCUAUCAGCAGGGAAGAAAAUGACAGUACCUGACCAAGAAGCCCCGGCUAACUACGUGACAGCAGCCGCGGUAAAACGUAGGGAGCAGGCGUUAUCCGGAUUUAAUGGGUGUAAAGGGAGCGUAGACGGGUUUGUAAGUCUGGAGUGAAAGCCCGGGGGCCAACCCCGGGACUGCUUUGGAAACUGUGUAACUGGAGUACAGGAGGGGCAGGCGGAAUGCCUGGUGUAGCGGUGAAAUGCGUAGAUAGUAGGAGGAACACCAGUGGCGAAGGCAGCUUACUGGACUGUAAAUGACGCUGAGGCUCGAAAGCGUGGGGAGCAAACAGGAUUAGAUACCCCAGUAGUC